GCACAAGCGGUGGAGCAUGUGGUUUAAUUCGAUGCAACGCGCAGAACCUUACCAGCUCUUGACAUGCUAGGUUUUGGACUUGAGAGAUUGAGUCCUUCAGUUCGGCUGGGCCUAGUACAGGUGCUGCAUGGCUGUCGUCAGCUCGUGUCGUGAGAUGUUGGGUUAAGUCCCGCAACGAGCGCAACCCUCAUCUUCAGUUGCCAUCAGGUUAUGCUGGGCACUCUGAAGAAACUGCCGGUGACAAGCCGGAGGAAGGUGGGGAUGACGUCAAGUCCUCAUGGCCUUUAUGAGCUGGGCCACACACGUGCUACAAUGGCGGUGACAAUGGGAUGCAAUGGGGCGACCCCUAGCGAAUCUCAAAAAGCCGUCUCAGUUCGGAUUGCACUCUGCAACUCGAGUGCAUGAAGUUGGAAUCGCUAGUAAUCGUGGAUCAGCAUGCCACGGUGAAUACGUUCCCGGGC
rnacentral:rRNA from 1 species